rnacentral:rRNA from 1 species
AACGAACGCUGGCGGCAUGCCUAACACAUGCAAGUCGAACGAGACCUUCGGGUCUAGUGGCGCACGGGUGCGUAACGCGUGGGAAUCUACCCUUGGGUUCGGAAUAACAGUUAGAAACGACUGCUAAUACCGGAUGAUGACGUAAGUCCAAAGAUUUAUCGCCCAAGGAUGAGCCCGCGUAAGAUUAGCUUGUUGGUGGGGUAAUGGCCUCCCAAGGCGACGAUAUUUAGCUGGUCUGAGAGGAUGAUCAGCCACACUGGGAAUGAGACACGGCCCAGACUCCUACGGGAGGCAGCAGUGGGGAAUAUUGGACAAUGGGCGAAAGCCUGAUCUAGCAAUGCCGCGUGAGUGAUGAAGGCCUUAGGGUUGUAAAGCUCUUUUACCAGGGAUGAUAAUGACAGUACCUGGAGAAUAAGCUCCGGCUAACUCCGUGCCAGCCGCCGCGGUAA